GGCGCAGCAGGACGGAGGAGGAGCGGCGGCGAAGCCGGCGCUGAGGAAGCCGGUGUUCACGAAGGUCGGCCAGCUGAAGCCGGGCACGAGCGGCCACAAUCUGAAGGCGAAGGUGCUCAACUCGAACGUCGUGCUGCAGAAGUCUCGUGCGGCGGCGGCGCACAUACAUCAGGCCAGGAUCGCCGAGUGCCUCAUCGGCGACGAGACCGGCACCAUCGUCUUCACUGCCCGCAACGACCAGGUUGAUGUGAUGAAACCGGGCAACACUGUGAUUGUCCGCAAUGCAAAGAUUGAUAUGUUCAAGGGGUCGAUGAGGCUGGUUGUUGAC
rnacentral:misc_RNA from 1 species